GUCAGCUUUCCACCUCCUCCCUCUUUCUCCUUUCUUCCUAUCUUGGCGUCACGACUCACAAAUUCUUUCUUAUCAGUUGGGGAAUCAGGUUUGGUCCAGAAUCAGAGGGCUAUUUCUCGUCAUCGGUUUCCUUAUGUAAAAUUCUUAUUCAUCAUCAGAGAGGCUGGGUCGUUGCAAGGAAAGGAGCAACCAGCACACGCCCUUUUUCAUGAAAAUUAAUCGCACGAAACUACUUGUUCAGCAUACAAGUCUGCAGUAACAAUAUUAAUGGAUACCAGUAUAGUGGAUGAAGCCUCCUCUCCAUCCUCUUCAUCCUGCUCCACAAAUGAUGAGAUGUAUGAUGUGUUCUUGAGCUUUAUCGGCGUAGACUCACGCAAGACCUUCACGGACCACCUCUACUGGACAUUGAAAGACGCCAGAGUCGAUGUCUUUAUUGCUGAGAAUAAACUAAGAGGACCAAAACUGAUGCAAGCAAUUGAACAAUCCAGAAUCGCUGUCAUCAUCUUCUCAAGUGGGUAUGCAUUUUCCAUAGGGUGUCUUCAGGAGCUGGAGAAGAUCAUGGAGUGUAGAAGAACACUAGGGCAAAUGGUUUUGCCAAUUUUCUAUCAUGUUGAUCCUAAAAAUGUUGGGAAACAAAUCGAUAGUUUUCCAGUGAACCACCAUGGAGUUAAAGAUUGGGAAGAAAUGAUGCGGUCAUGGAGAAAAUCUCUAAUUGAGGCCACAAAUUUGUCCGGCCUUGUUUAUAUGAAGAGUGAAGGGUAUGAAGGAAUGUUAAUCAGAAAAAUUGUUGACGAGAUCACCAGAAAACUGAAGAGCACAUGCGUAGACGUAGUCACCGAACAAGUAGAAUUAGAUUCAAGCAUUCAAGAAAUCAGUAAUGAUUUAAAGGUUCAUGUUGGAAAAGAUUCUCGAUUGCAAGAAAUUAGUACUCGUUUAGAUAUUGGAGGCCCAAAAGAUGCUCACAUUCAACCCCAAGGCCCACGGCCCACUGCUUUCAAAGUCAACAAAGCGUCGGUCAAGAUAAAGAAGCGACCACCUCAUGCAGUUGUGAAACGCUGCCGGACUGUGGUCAUCCAAGCCAAUCCUAGUGAGUUCAGGUCCUUAGUCCAACGCUUUACCAGCACUUCCUCUUCACCGUCCUCCGGUGAUGGCGGCCUCUCACCAGCCGCAAGACUCGCCUCCAUCAACAAAACAAGCCUUCAUUCUUCUUCCACUUCAGAUCACAAGAAGCCUUUGAUUCCCACCAUUUCUUCUCAUGACGAAGACUUCAUGGGAAGUAUUUGUAAUAAUCUUGAAGAUCUAGGAAGAGGAGAAGGAGGAGGAGGAUUCCUGCAAAUUGAUGAAACGCGUCACUUUCCAGGCUUAUUGUCUCCUGCCCCAGCCAGUUUGCCGCCUAUCCCAAAUGGGUUUUUCUCUCAUGAGCAUGACGGCGCCCUUGUGCCAUCUCCAACUGGAGCAGGCCAAAUCCAAAAAUUGAGUUCUAGCCCAGAUUGUUUACCGGCCAGGCCAAAAUUUCCCCCAAGCCCAAGAUAAAGCGGAAUAUAGCCCGAGAUUCCAGUCGCACUCAAAAUGGUGGAGCCGACGAUCGGAUGCUGAGCGAGCAGCCAACGUGAAAAUGAAGCCCGAGAUGGACCCCAGCUGAUAGCUGCUAUUGAAGGCAAGCUGUUGGAAUUGGCAAUCUCAUUGAUUUCUUCUCUACGCACAAAAAGCACAAGCGAAUGGAAUUGCAUUGGAUAAAUUGAAAACACUUUCUCCUUGGGAAACUCACGUAAAGCUUAAAAUAAGCUAUGUUCAGCUAGCUGAUGAUUGCCCGAGAGAUACAUUGCUUGAUAUAUCUUGUUUCUUCAUUGGAAUGAACAAGAACUAUGUCAUGCAUUUAUUGGACGGUUGUGGCUUUUCUCCAGUAAUAGAAAUGAGCCUUUUAACUGUUGGUGAUUAAAAAAAAAAAAAACAAGUUGAUGAUGCAUGGUUUGGUUCGAGACUUGAACAGAGAAAUCGGACGUGCAAAAUCUUUACAUGGAAGGCCUAGUAGAUUGUGGAAUCAUGAAAUGUAAAACGCCUGCUGAGGAACCAAUUGGUAACAUUUGCUAUCAGUUGUAUUACAUGCAUGUAGGAAACGGGGGAAAUUGAAGGACUCACUUCAGAUUUGCAAGAAUCUGACGAGCGUAGCUUCAGUACAGAAGCAUUUACAAGGAUGUGAAGACGAGAUUGGUCAAACUCAAUUACAUAAAGCUGACUGGUAGUUAAUAGCAUCUUUCGAAAGAGAACCUCGUUGGUAUGGAUUUCUUCUGGAGGUCAUACCCGAAGAUUUUAAUCAAGAAAACCUCGUUGGUAUUUAAAUGGAGGGUGAAUUAACAACUUCAUUAUGGCUGCCAAAUAUAAUCAUUCUAUUAAUUAACAUCGGACAAAAAAACCAAGAUGAUGGACAGGGUUUUACCAGAA